rnacentral:rRNA from 1 species
UACGAAGGGGGCUAGCGUUGUUCGGAAUUACUGGGCGUAAAGCGCACGUAGGCGGAUAUUUAAGUCAGGGGUGAAAUCCCAGAGCUCAACUCUGGAACUGCCUUUGAUACUGGGUAUCUUGAGUAUGGAAGAGGUAAGUGGAAUUGCGAGUGUAGAGGUGAAAUUCGUAGAUAUUCGCAGGAACACCAGUGGCGAAGGCGGCUUACUGGUCCAUUACUGACGCUGAGGUGCGAAAGCGUGGGGAGCAGACAGG